rnacentral:rRNA from 1 species
AAAUUAAUUUAAAUAAAAUUAAACGGANGCAGUAUCUUGACUGUGGUAAUGUAGCAUAAUCAUUUGCCAUUUAAUUGGUGGAUAGUAUGAAUGGUUAAACGAAUCCUUCACUGUUUUAAGAAAAAAAUUUAUAAAAUUGAAAUAAUACUUAAGAUGCUAUUUAAAAUUGUAAGACGAAAAGACCCUAUAGAGCUUAACUAAAAUUUUUUUCAGAUAUAAUAGUUAAAAAACUUUUAAAAGAAAAGUUUGGUAGUUUAGUUGGGGCGAC